rnacentral:rRNA from 1 species
AGCGAACGCUGGCGGCAGGCCUAACACAUGCAAGUCGAACGAACCUUUCGGGGUUAGUGCCGGACGGGUGAGUAACACGUGGGAACGUGCCUUUAGGUUCGGAAUAACUCAGGGAAACUUGUGCUAAUACCGAAUGUGCCCUUCGGGGGAAAGAUUUAUCGCCUUUAGAGCGGCCCGCGUCUGAUUAGCUAGUUGGUUGAGGUAAUGGCUCACCAAGGCGACGAUCAGUAGCUGGUCUGAGAGGAUGAUCAGCCACAUUGGGACUGAGACACGGCCCAAAUUCCUACGGGAGGCAGCAGUGGGGAAUCUUGCGCAAUGGGCGAAAGCCUGACGCAGCCAUGCCGCGUGAAUGAUGAAGGUCUUAGGAUUGUAAAAUUCUUUCACCGGGGACGAUAAUGACGGUACCCGGAGAAGAAGCCCCGGCUAACUUCGUG